UAUUUGAGUAGCUUAUGAAGAGCGUAGUAUUGAAGAUACUAAGGAAAUUUUGUUGUUCUCAAGUAU
rnacentral:tRNA from 1 species